GUACUAGCUGUCAGCUGCUGGAGACCUUGCUUUCUGUUUCACUGGGAAACAGAAGCAAUCAGAAGGAAACUUCCUCAGACUCCACCUCUCCCUUCACUCCCGCCUGUAUCCGUGCCUGUUACCUGGACGCCUUGUGGAACUUGAAUUCUACGCCCUCCACUGGGACACUGCCCUUCAUCCUCUCUCACCUCCUCCAGGACAACAAAUGUUGUAGUCCUCAUCAUCAGCAGAGACUUUGUGCCAUCCUCUGCUAUAUUAUCCUGAAGAGUGCCUGGCUCAUGCUGCAGUGUUCUGAAUAGCAGUCCAGCUAUGAGGGGAGGUGCCCGUGGCAGGCCUCAGCUGACCCUGGAGAGGCCAUUAAGACCUGGCUGUCGCCUCCACAGCUGCUCGGAGGCAGAUUACCAAUGUUACAAAACUGUAAACAGAGAAAGGUGGCUUUGUAAGAAGAAAAGAGAUCAUUCUUUUUCCACCAUGUGAGGACCCAGCAAGAGGGUGGCUGUCUGCAAACCCAGGGAGAGAGCCCUCACCAGGAAUCUGCUGGCACCUUAAUCUUGGACUUCCCAGCCUCCACAACUGUGAGGAAUAAAUGUAUGUUGUUUAAGCCA
rnacentral:lncRNA from 1 species